AGAAUGAUAAAACUAAAAAAAAUAUAUGAUGUACAAUACCAUGAAAACUUCCACCGGAAAUUGGUUUGAACGAGAUCUAGUAAGUAGUUUUUUUUUAAUACAACUAAAAUAAAUAAAAAAAAAUUCAUCAAACCCAUACGAGUAGGGUGUCUAUGGAUAGGUCUUCAAAAAUGAUAUUGAGGUUUCUAAUAUCAUUUUUUUCUAAACUGAAUAGUUUGCGCGAGAGACACUUACUUCCAAAGUGGUAAAAUGUGCCCCCCCCCCCCCCCUGUAACUUCUAAAAUAAGAGAAUGAUAAAACUAAAAAAAAUAUAUAUGAUGUACAAUGUGUGAUGCAAACUUCCACCGAAAAUUGGUUUGAACGAGAUCUAGUAAGUAGUUUUUUUAAUACGUCAUAAAUCAAUUGAAACUCAAUUUUUUUUUAUCAAACCCAUACGUGUGGGGUAUCUAUGGAUAGGUCUUUAAAAAUGAUAUUGAGGUUUCUAAUAUAAUUUUUUUCUGAACUGAAUAGUUUGCGCGAGAGACACUUCCAAAGUGGUAAAAUGUGUCCCCCCCCCCCCCCCUGUAA